rnacentral:tRNA from 1 species
AGAAGUAUAGGUUAAAAAAACCUUCAGUUUGUGGUAUUGAAAAUCUAGUGAUAGUAUUUCUA